rnacentral:rRNA from 1 species
AAGCUUGCUUCCGCUGACGACCAGCGCACGGGUGCGUAACGCGUAUGAAACCUGCCUUAUACUGGGGGAUAGCCCGAAGAAAUUCGGAUUAAUACCCCAUAACAUUAUUGAAUGGCAUCAUUUAAUAAUUAAAACUCCGGUGGUAUAAGAUGGUCAUGCGUGACAUUAGCUAGUUGGUGAGGUAAUGGCUCACCAAGGCGACGAUGUCUAGGGGUUCUGAGAGGAAGGUCCCCCACACUGGUACUGAGACACGGACCAGACUCCUACGGGAGGCAGCAGUGAGGAAUAUUGGUCAAUGGGCGAAAGCCUGAACCAGCCAUGUCGCGUGCAGGAAGACUGCCCUAUGGGUUGUAAACUGCUUUUAUACGGGAAGAAUGUGACCUACGUGUAGGUUUUUGCCGGUACCGUAUGAAUAAGCAUCGGCUAACUCCGUGCCAGCAGCCGCGGUAAUACGGAGGAUGCGAGCGUUAUCCGGAUUCAUUGGGUUUAAAGGGUGCGUAGGCGGAAGUAUAAGUCAGGGGUGAAAGUUUGUGGCUCAACCAUAAAAUUGCCUUUGAUACUGUAUUUCUUGAGUACAUUUGAGGUAGGCGGAAUGUGUUGUGUAGCGGUGAAAUGCUUAGAUAUAACACAGAACACCGAUUGCGAAGGCAGCUUACUAAACUGUAACUGACGCUGAUGCACGAAAGCGUGGGGAUCGAACAGGAUUAGAUACCCUGGUAGUCCACGCCGUAAACGAUGAUAACUAGUUGUUUGCAAUAGACCGUAAGCGACAAAGCGAAAGCAUUAAGUUAUCCACCUGGGGAGUACGUUGGCAACAAUGAAACUCAAAGGAAUUGACGGGGGCCCGCACAAGCGG